rnacentral:tRNA from 1 species
AGUUAAUGAACUUGUAUAAGUAUAUGUUUUGAAAACAUAAAAAAGAAAUAUAACCUUUCUAUUAACUU